CAUGCUUGCUAUUCUGACACUAUUCUGGCUUUCAGUAUACAGGCUCUACUGAGUGCACCAAAUCCAGAUGACCCUCUCUCCGAUAACACUGCAAAGCACUGGAAAUCCAAUGAGGUAGAAGCUGUUGAAACAGCCAAGGAGUGGACUCGCCUGUAUGCGAGCGGUGCAUGAGAGCGCAGUGCUGUUCUUGGUGUAAUAACCCCAUCAUACUUCAGUCCUAAUCCGUUGCCAUUUGCUUGAUAAAAAUAGACUGGAGAUAUUUGCCAUGGAA